rnacentral:rRNA from 1 species
CCGCCGAUAGCGGUGUCCCGGUGGUUCUCCCGUAUGGCGUGCGCGUUUUCGGACGCGCGGGCUUGUCGGGUGUUCCGUUUGGGGCCCGUGUGUAGGUAGCGGAGGAAUGACGCGGUCAGGUAGCUUCCCGCGGAGGUGGUUUUCCGUGGCCAAGCGUGCGGCCCGGCCCCCGAGCAAAUCUAGGGGCCAUGCGGGCGAGGCGUGAUGGUGGGCACCGUUUGGUGCGAUAUGAAGUGAUCCUGGCGGCCGAGAAAAGUUUCGUCGCGAGGUCCGCGGGCGCCCGUACCCGAAACCGACACUGGUGGUCUGGUAGAGUAUACCGAAGCGAUCGAGUGAAUCCUGGUCAAGGAACUCGGCAAAUUGCUCCCGUGCCUUCGGCAUAAGGGAGACCCCCGGCGGUGAGGGCCUUUGCGGCCGGAGCUGUUGGGGGUGGCACAAGCCAGGGGGUAGCGACUGUUUACCAAAAACACAGGUGCAUGCGAAGACGCAAGUCGCGGUAUAUGCACUGACGCCUGCCCGGUGCCGGAAGGUUAAGAGGAUCCGUCAGCUUCGGCGAAGCGGUGAAUUCAAGCCCCGGUAAACGGCGGUGGUAACUAUAACCAUCCUAAGGUAGCGAAAUUCCUUGUCGGGUAAGUUCCGACCUGCACGAAUGGCGUAACGACUUCCCCACUGUCUCGACCAGGAACUCGGCGAAAUUGCAGUACGAGUAAAGAUGCUCGUUAAGCGCAGAAGGACGAAAAGACCCCGGGACCUUUACUAUACCUUGGUAUUGGUGUCAGGUGGUUGUUGUGUAGGAUAGGCGGUAGACUGUGAAGCGCGGGCGCCAGCCCGUGUGGAGUCGCAAGGUGAAAUACCGCUCUGCGGCCAUCUGGCGUCUCACCUCGACAAGUCAUCCUUGUCAGGGACAGUGCCUGGCGGGUAGUUUAACUGGGGCGGUUGCCUCCCAAAGAGUAACGGAGGCGCUCAAAGGUUCCCUCGGCCCGGUUGGCAAUCGGGUGUCGAGUGUAAUCGCACAAGGGAGCUUGACUGCGAGAACGACGGUUCGAGCAGGGACGAAAGUCGGAGAUAGUGAUCCGGUGCCGGCGUACGGACGCGGCAUCGCUCAACGGAUAAAAGGUACCCCGGGGAUAACAGGCUGAUCAUUCCCAAGAGUCCAUAUCGACGGGAUGGUUUGGCACCUCGAUGUCGGCUCGUCGCAUCCUGGGGCUGG